rnacentral:lncRNA from 1 species
CCCUUCAGCUUUGGUCCCUCGGGGCGUCUGGGCAGCCUACGCUUUCCGGAUAAAAAUGGCAGAAUGAAAGAAUUAUGAGUGGAACUAGAGAAUAGGAAAGACAUGAACCAACGCCCAAAAUGAGAAAGAAGGACAUAUAAAGAAAAAGACAAAUACAAGUGAAAAAAAUAGACUAAUGGAUUAACGUCCCUGUCGUGUGACAUUUUCUGGUAUGACAGCUGAAGAUGUUGAACCGUAUGGUGCAGUUUUGCAAAUAGUGUAUGAAGUGGGUUACUAUGGAAAUGAUAUUAGACAAAAAGCAACUUCAAGUGGUUUUCUUAUUUGAGUUCAAAAUGGGUCAUAACGCAGCAGAGAUAACUUGAAACAUGAACAGCGCAUUUGGCCCAGGAACUACUAACGAACAUACAGGGCAGCUGUGAUUCAAGAAGUUUUGCAAAGCAGACUAGAGCCUUGAAUAUGAGGAACACAGUGGCCAGCCAUUGGAUGCUUCACUUCUUGAAGCAUCUUGACAGCUUUUUGCAGGUGAAAUGCUUCCACACCAGCAGGAUGCAGAAAAAUGCUUUCCAAGAGUUUGUUGAAUCCAGAAGCAUGGAUGUUUAUGCUGCAGGAAUAAACAAAUUUAUUUCUCGUUGGCAAAAAAGUGUUGAUUGUAAUGGUUCCUAUUUUGAUUAAUAAAGAUGUGUUUGAGCCUA